AUAAUGGGUCAGCGACUUAUAUUCUGUAGCAAGGUUAACCGAAUAGGGGAGCCGAAGGGAAACCGAGUCUUAACUGGGCGUUAAGUUGCAGGGUAUAGACCCGAAACCCGGUGAUCUAGCCAUGGGCAGGUUGAAGGUUGGGUAACACUAACUGGAGGACCGAACCGACUAAUGUUGAAAAAUUAGCGGAUGACUUGUGGCUGGGGGUGAAAGGCCAAUCAAACCGGGAGAUAGCUGGUUCUCCCCGAAAGCUAUUUAGGUAGCGCCUCGUGAAUUCAUCUCCGGGGGUAGAGCACUGUUUCGGCAAGGGGGUCAUCCCGACUUACCAACCCGAUGCAAACUGCGAAUACCGGAGAAUGUUAUCACGGGAGACACACGGCGGGUGCUAACGUCCGUCGUGAAGAGGGAAACAACCCAGACCGCCAGCUAAGGUCCCAAAGUCAUGGUUAAGUGGGAAACGAUGUGGGAAGGCCCAGACAGCCAGGAUGUUGGCUUAGAAGCAGCCAUCAUUUAAAGAAAGCGUAAUAGCUCACUGGUCGAGUCGGCCUGCGCGGAAGAUGUAACGGGGCUAAACCAUGCACCGAAGCUGCGGCAGCGACGCUUAUGCGUUGUUGGGUAGGGGAGCGUUCUGUAAGCCUGUGAAGGUGUACUGUGAGGUAUGCUGGAGGUAUCAGAAGUGCGAAUGCUGACAUAAGUAACGAUAAAGCGGGUGAAAAGCCCGCUCGCCGGAAGACCAAGGGUUCCUGUCCAACGUUAAUCGGGGCAGGGUGAGUCGACCCCUAAGGCGAGGCCGAAAGGCGUAGUCGAUGGGAAACAGGUUAAUAUUCCUGUACUUGGUGUUACUGCGAAGGGGGGACGGAGAAGGCUAUGUUGGCCGGGCGACGGUUGUCCCGGUUUAAGCGUGUAGGCUGGUUUUCCAGGCAAAUCCGGAAAAUCAAGGCUGAGGCGUGAUGACGAGGCACUACGGUGCUGAAGCAACAAAUGCCCUGCUUCCAGGAAAAGCCUCUAAGCAUCAGGUAACAUCAAAUCGUACCCCAAACCGACACAGGUGGUCAGGUAGAGAAUACCAAGGCGCUUGAGAGAACUCGGGUGAAGGAACUAGGCAAAAUGGUGCCGUAACUUCGGGAGAAGGCACGCUGAUAUGUAGGUGAAGUCCCUCGCGGAUGGAGCUGAAAUCAGUCGAAGAUACCAGCUGGCUGCAACUGUUUAUUAAAAACACAGCACUGUGCAAACACGAAAGUGGACGUAUACGGUGUGACGCCUGCCCGGUGCCGGAAGGUUAAUUGAUGGGGUCAGCGCAAGCGAAGCUCUUGAUCGAAGCCCCGGUAAACGGCGGCCGUAACUAUAACGGUCCUAAGGUAGCGAAAUUCCUUGUCGGGUAAGUUCCGACCUGCACGAAUGGCGUAAUGAUGGCCAGGCUGUCUCCACCCGAGACUCAGUGAAAUUGAACUCGCUGUGAAGAUGCAGUGUACCCGCGGCAAGACGGAAAGACCCCGUGAACCUUUACUAUAGCUUGACACUGAACAUUGAGCCUUGAUGUGUAGGAUAGGUGGGAGGCUUUGAAGUGUGGACGCCAGUCUGCAUGGAGCCGACCUUGAAAUACCACCCUUUAAUGUUUGAUGUUCUAACGUUGACCCGUGAUCCGGGUUGCGGACAGUGUCUGGUGGGUAGUUUGACUGGGGCGGUCUCCUCCUAAAGAGUAACGGAGGAGCACGAAGGUUGGCUAAUCCUGGUCGGACAUCAGGAGGUUAGUGCAAUGGCAUAAGCCAGCUUGACUGCGAGCGUGACGGCGCGAGCAGGUGCGAAAGCAGGUCAUAGUGAUCCGGUGGUUCUGAAUGGAAGGGCCAUCGCUCAACGGAUAAAAGGUACUCCGGGGAUAACAGGCUGAUACCGCCCAAGAGUUCAUAUCGACGGCGGUGUUUGGCACCUCGAUGUCGGCUCAUCACAUCCUGGGGCUGAAGUAGGUCCCAAGGGUAUGGCUGUUCGCCAUUUAAAGUGGUACGCGAGCUGGGUUUAGAACGUCGUGAGACAGUUCGGUCCCUAUCUGCCGUGGGCGCUGGAGAACUGAGGGGGGCUGCUCCUAGUACGAGAGGACCGGAGUGGACGCAUCACUGGUGUUCGGGUUGUCAUGCCAAUGGCACUGCCCGGUAGCUAAAUGCGGAAGAGAUAAGUGCUGAAAGCAUCUAAGCACGAAACUUGCCCCGAGAUGAGUUCUCCCUGACUCCUUGAGAGUCCUGAAGGAACGUUGAAGACGACGACGUUGAUAGGCCGGGUGUGUAAGCGCAGCGAUGCGUUGAGCUAACCGGUACUAAUGAACCGUGAGGCUUAACCUUACAACGCCGAAGGUGUUU
rnacentral:rRNA from 1 species